AGGCUGAGGUGGUCGUCCUUGCGGAGUUCGCCGGGCACCCUCUGCAUGUAAGAAUCAACUGGCAGUCCCUGUGUGGCGGUGCAGCUGACCUGGGCUCUCCGGCUGAAGAGGGGUUUUCAAACAUUCGCGCUCGGAGGUGAGGAGGAAACCGUGAACAUGCUGGGAAGAGAGAGGACGUCAAACAGCUGACCUGGAAGGGCCCGGUCCCCCCCCCC